AAAACGGAGGAAAAGAAACCAACAGGGAUUGCCUCAGUAGCGGCGAGUGAAGCGGCAAAAGCUCAAAUUUGAAAUCUGGCGUCUUUGGCGUCCGAGUUGUAAUUUGAAGAAGGUAUCUUUGGGCCCGGCUCUUGUCUAUGUUCCUUGGAACAGGACGUCACAGAGGGUGAGAAUCCCGUGCGAUGAGAUGACCCGGGUCUGUGUAAAGUUCCUUCGACGAGUCGAGUUGUUUGGGAAUGCAGCUCUAAGUGGGUGGUAAAUUCCAUCUAAAGCUAAAUAUUGGCGAGAGACCGAUAGCGAACAAGUACAGUGAUGGAAAGAUGAAAAGAACUUUGAAAAGAGAGUGAAAAAGUACGUGAAAUUGUUGAAAGGGAAGGGCUUGAGAUCAGACUUGGUAUUUUGCAUGCUGCUCUCUCGGGGGCGGCCGCUGCGGUUUACCGGGCCAGCAUCGGUUUGGAGCGGCAGGAUAAUGGCGGAGGAAUGUGGCACGGCUUCUGCUGUGUGUUAUAGCCUCUGACGAUACUGCCAGCCUAGACCGAGGACUGCGGUUUUUAACCUAGGAUGUUGGCAUAAUGAUCUUAAGUCGCCCGUCUUGAAAA
rnacentral:rRNA from 1 species